UUUCAUUAGAAAAUGAACCUUCCAGUUAGAGCAUUAAAUAUGUGGUUAUGAGUGUGACUAGUUCAUAAUCUACAUGUUAUCUGUCCUACCUGAGAGUAACAAACUUAAAGAGCUAUAUUAACAACAAAUGAAACUCAAUGGUACUGAAAUGAAACUGCAAGUUAAAAAAAAAUGCUUUCAGUUUUAAACUGUCUUAGCUACAGCAGAUCAGGGGGGAGAGAGCAUCCCAAGGCUUCCCUUAAAGCAAAUCAGGGAGAAUGAAGACGGUGAUUUUGCUGCUGUUCUUUCUCCUCAGCAAUUCCAAAGCACUCUUCACAGUGGAGAUGAGUCCGAACUACCUGGCCGAAUUACAUGAAAAUGUUACGAUGGAGUGUCGAUUUCCACCUGGAGAUGGGAAAGCAGUCCUGUCUGUGUUCUGGGAACGCCUUAGUCCCCCGCCACGCGUGGAGGUCUACAAAAUGGUCGACGGGAGGAAGGACGUUGACUCGCAGGAUCCCCAGUUUAGGGGGAGGGUGCAGCUACAGGAUGAUGAGCUCACAAAGGGACGGGCUCUGUUACAAAUCUCUGAUGUCAAGAUUAAUGAUUCUGGAACAUACCAGUGUCUGGUAGAGAUGGGAGCUGGUGACUACAAGCAGACUACCCUCACUGUUCAAGCCUCUUACAGGAACAUCACAGCCACAGCUCUGCAGGGCUGCUCGCUCUCACCCACCCCACUCCUGCUGCAGUGCCAGGCUGCAGGGUUCCCAAAGGCCCGGGUACAAUGGACCGACACCUCCAGUAGCGUGCUGCCGGCUUCCCGGACCAACACCAGCCACACUAUGACUCAAGAUGGGCUUUACAUUGUGACAGCUCAAGUAAAAGUCAACGGCAGCUGCGGGGAGAUAUAUAACUGCAGCUACAUAACCAAACACAGUGUGACAUCAGCGUUUAUCCACCUAUCAGCUCCAUCCUUCCCAAAGAUUUCUACCUUGUCUGUCAUAUUAAUGCUAGGUGGUGCUUUAUUGGGGAUGGCUCUGUGUGUAUCACUGGGGCUGAUAUUUAAGAAACGGGGAUUUGGGCGACUCCAAGGCAGAAAGCAAAUUUAUGUUAGGAGGAGGGCUUUUUUUGAACACCGCAGGUAAAAUGCAAUUCAGUUUGAAUAGGACACAUGGAAAGUCUUGAAAAAGGCAGUAGGGAAGAUGAAUUACAGAGACUGUAAAACAUUACCUGGGACAAUCUACUUCUUCAUCAUAGUGAAUUUGCACUUAUUUAUUGUUACGCGGACGGCUUUUCGGAGCAACAUCCAUACUCAAAGGGUAGCAUUUUGGCCCCACCCUUCCAGGUUUUUGGGUUUGAUUACUACCCCGGCUCUGUGUACGUGUAUCUAAUUAAUGUUUCUAAUGUUCCCUUGUGUGUGUAUCCUGUGAUGGAAUGGAUCCAAUCCCAGGUGUCCUCUGCCUUGUCUCCCAAGUGGGCUUGCUAGGAUCAAGGGCGUAGAUUUGGGUAUGGACUGUAGGGACAUGUCCCUGCUAAUAUUUAUGGGAGUACCAUGUGUGUUAAAGGGGGAGGGGGGUUCGGGGCUGAUUUGGACCUGACUGGUAUAUAACAUGGAACUUAUGCAUAUCUAUUAGGCUAAAUAAUAUCAAAUUAAGAAAAAUAAAGACAAUCAGCCUAGUCAAUAGGAAAUCACAGGCACAAAAAUGCAAGGGUAGAAGACACACUUGGUUAGUUGUGAUGAGCAUGACAAUGGAAAUGACAUGUUUUGCACUUUAUUUCUACUUUUAAACAGUGUGAAUAUAUAAAGAAUUAUAAGCAUUAAUGUAAUUACAAGAAAUAUGUUUUUCUGAAUGUGUGAUAGAAGUACAGGGGUCACCAAUAUUGCAAAUAUGUGUUUGCAUAUUACAAGAGUAUCUGAAUAGUCUGUAUAUAUUAGUCAAUUUGUGCAAUUCUUUUCUCUGGCUCUGAUACAUGCAGCUACUUGUUUCAGGAUUUUAAUGUGACCACCAGUUCAUGUCUGCAUGACGUGUCCCACUGAUAAAACAUGAGAAUGAGCACAUUGGCUCACUGGAUAACACUGCGUCCUCACACCUCUGGAGUUGUGACUUUGAUUCUUAGAACUGUGUCAGUGGGCUUUUCUUAUACUGGCACUGAGUGCACAUCGGGAGUUCUAGUUUCCAUCAAGGAGAUGUGGAAUGGCACAUCACCAACUGUAAGGCAGUUAGCAUGAUCCCUGAGUUAGAAAUGCAACUUUGGCUAAUGUGUAGGAAAUUUCACAACUUUGUGGCCCUUAUAUUUUCAUAAAAACAAUGGAUAUUAACCAUUAACAUUAUUUUAAACGGAUUGAUGUAGCAUUACUGUAUUACAGUAUACUUUAUUUUUCAGAUUUAAAUAUU